rnacentral:tRNA from 1 species
GGGGAUAUGGCGAAAUUGGUAGACGCUACGGACUUUAGUAAGAGGAAAAUCCCGUCGAUUUUUGAAAUCAUGAGGGUUCAAGUCCCUCUAUCCCCA